rnacentral:sRNA from 1 species
AGCCAUGAUUAACUACCUCCAAUAGUUGGUUAUGGUCAGCGGCUCCGGCGUGUUGCAAGCGCGUCGGAACCGCAUU